UGUAAAAGGAGAAAAGACUCAGA
rnacentral:piRNA from 1 species